UACGUAGGAGGCAAGCGUUGUCCGGAAUUAUUGGGCGUAAAGAGCUCGUAGGCGGUUUGUUGCGUCGGAUGUGAAAGCCCGGGGCUUAACCCCGGGUCUGCAUUCGAUACGGGCAGACUGGAGUGUGGUAGGGGAGAUCGGAAUUCCUGGUGUAGCGGUGAAAUGCGCAGAUAUCGGGAGGAACACCAGUGGCGAAGGCGACUACCUGGCCUGUUCUUGACGCUGAGGCGCGAAAGCUAGGGGAGCAAACGGG
rnacentral:rRNA from 1 species